ACGCUCGACACCUACGGGAGGCAGCAGUUAGGAAUAUUGGGCAAUGGAGGAAACUCUGACCCAGCAACGCCGCGUGAAGGAAGAAGGUUUUCGGAUUGUAAACUUCUGAUCUAGGGGAAGAAGGAAGUGACGGUACCCUAGGAGAAAGCCACGGCUAACUACGUGCCUGCAGCCGCGGUAAUCUGAGCGGGCUGGCAAGGC
rnacentral:rRNA from 1 species